UACAGAGGGUGCGAGCGUUAAUCGGAAUUACUGGGCGUAAAGCGUGCGUAGACGGUUAUUUAAGUCGGGUGUGAAAGCCCCGGGCUCAACCUGGGAAUUGCAUUCGAGACUGAAUAGCUAGGGUACGGUAGAGGGAAGCGGAAUUUCCGGUGUAGCGGUGAAAUGCGUAGAUAUCGGAAGGAACAUCAGUGGCGAAAGCGGUUCUCUGGGCCUUACCUGACGCUGAGGAGCGAAAGCGUGGGGAGCGAACAGG
rnacentral:rRNA from 1 species